UGAGGGAAUAUUGGUCAAUGGCGAGAGCCUGAACCAGCCAAGUAGCGUGCAGGACGACGGCCCUAUGGGUUGUAAACUGCUUUUAUGCGGGGAUAAAGUGAGGGAUGCGUCCCUUUUUGCAGGUACCGCAUGAAUAAGGACCGGCUAAUUCCGUGCCAGCAGCCGCGGUAAUACGGAAGGUCCGGGCGUUAUCCGGAUUUAUUGGGUUUAAAGGGAGCGUAGGCCGGCUUUUAAGCGUGUUGUGAAAUGCCGCGGCUCAACCGUGGCACUGCAGCGCGAACUGGGGGGCUUGAGUGCGCGCAGCGCAAGGCGGAACUCGUGGUGUAGCGGUGAAAUGCUUAGAUAUCACGAAGAACUCCGAUCGCGAAGGCAGCCUGCGGGAGCGCAAC
rnacentral:rRNA from 1 species